GUGAUUACAGUGGCUCCUCAAAAAGAUAUUUGCCCUCAAGGUAAGACGUAUCCUAAAAAUGCAGCUGCUAUAGUUAAUAAUAACAUUAUUGUUUCUGUCAUUCAAGUUGGUUUAAAGUUGAAUGAUCCAAAAAAUAUUCCUCGUCCGUUAUGUAAAUAUAUACAAAUGAAAAAUAUAGAAGCACCAUUUGCAUGUAAAUUUUUGAUUAUUCAACCAUUAUUAAUAUCUCGAGAUCGGAAGCGCA